rnacentral:rRNA from 1 species
AGCGAACGCUGGCGGCAGGCCUAAUACAUGCAAGUCGAACGAAGCCUUCGGGCUUAGUGGCGGACGGGUGAGUAACACGUGGGAACGUACCUUUUGGUUCGGAACAACUCAGGGAAACUUGAGCUAAUACCGGAUGAGCCCUUAGGGGGAAAGAUUUAUCGCCGAAAGAGCGGCCCGCGUUAGAUUAGCUAGUUGGUGAGGUAAAGGCUCACCAAGGCAACGAUCUAUAGCUGGUCUGAGAGGAUGAUCAGCCACACUGGGACUGAGACACGGCCCGCCCUCCUACGGGAGGCAGCAGUGGGGCUUCUUGCGCAAUGGGCGAAAGCCUGACGCAGCCAUGCCGCGUGCCUGCUCCCGGUCUUAGGAUUGUAAAAUUCUUUUACCAGGGACGAUAAUGACGGUACCUGGAGAAACAGCCCCGGCUAACUUCGUGCCAGCAGCCGCAGUAAAAC